AUGGACGCCUCGGACCCCCCCGACCCCCCCGACCCCAACAUGGAUCUGCUCCCGGCCGUGCCCAUUACACUCGGUAGGGCUGGCUGCGUGCUGGGGGGGGGGGCUGCGUUCUGUGCUGAUAGCGCCGCGCUGACCCCUCCCCCUAUUCACCCCCAUUGUCCGCAGCCGAUCGCAGUGAGGGGGGGUCCCCGGUGCCGCCCCCCCCCCCAAAAGGUUCGGUCCAUUCGGGGUCGCUCUGUGCCCUGUUGGCUUCCACCGCCGUCCGGCUGUGCCCGGGCCGCCCCUCGCCCCGUAUGGCCUUCGCCCCCGUCGCCCCCGACCCGCACAGCGACAGCCGUGUCCCCGCCAUCCUGGAGCGCAUCAUCGCCCGGGUUGUGGAGCGGAAGAUCCAGGAGCGGGACGGGGGAACGGCCGGACCCUGCGCCCCCCCCCCCGGGACCCCCCCCACGCACCAGCUCCUCGCGCCGGGGGGGCAACUGUGGCUGCACGACCCCCCCCACGCCAACAGCUACGGGCUGUUCCGGCAGCACUGGAGGCAGGGACAGCGCAGCCCGGCCCCUCGGAGCUGCUGAAGCUGGAGUGCAGCAUCGGGGACACGCAGCAGCGCCGGUACGUGAUGGUCCCACAUCGCAAUGGGGGGCUCAGGGCGAUGUGGGUCACACGGACCCAUAUUGGCCCCUCCGCCCCAUAACCUGCCCCAUAACCUGCCCCAUAACCUGCCCCAUAACCUGCCCCCCCCGGCCCCACAGGGUCGCGCUGCCGUUCCCGGAGUAUUGCGACCCCCACGGACAACUCAACCUCGUGUCCCACCUGCAGACAUGGCCGGGAUGGAUGCGGCCCCGCGUCUGUGCGGCGUAUGGUGAGUGAUACCCCAUAGACAGCCCCAUAGCCGCCCCAUAACCAGCCCCAUAACUAACCCAUAACCAACCCCAUAGCCAGCCCCAUAGCCAGCCCCAUAACCAACAUAACCACCCCAUAGCCACCCCAUAGCCACCCCAUAGCCAUCCCAUAACCACCCCAUAGCCACCCCAUAACCACCCCAUAACCACCCCAUAACCACCCCAUAACCAGCCCCAUAACCAGCCCCAUAACCAGCCCCAUAACCAACCCAUAGCCAGCCCCAUAACCAACCCCAUAACCAGCCCAUAACCAACCCCAUAACCAGCCCAUAACCAGCCCCAUAGCCAUCCCAUAACCAGCCCCAUAACCAGCCCCAUAACCAACCCCCCCACCCCAUAACCAACCCCAUAACCAAACCCAUCUACCCCAUAACCAACCCCUCCACCCCAUAACCAACCCCUCCUACUCCAUAACCAGCCCCAUAACCAACCCAUAACCAACCCAUAGCCAGCCCCAUAGCCAGCCCCAUAACCAACCCCCCUACCCUAUAACCAGCCCCAUACCCACCCCAUACCCACCCCCAUUUGCAGGUAUCCCCCC
rnacentral:lncRNA from 1 species